rnacentral:ncRNA from 1 species
UUAAACACGAUGAUCAAGUAAAGUAGACUAUAUGGAAUGGACAGAGAGGAACUCCCAGGCUGAAAGAGUUCUACAUUGAAGUAUAGUUGAAGUGCACUUGUGAGUGUUAGGCUGAAAUAAAGUAAGCCGCUACGGGUCCACCCGUUAUAGUGGUAGAGCAUGAUAGUGCUUGAAAAAUGAGAUGAGUUUAUUAACUCAAACAGAGUGGGACCGCGGAAGUAAAGCUUUCGCCUCUGAA